AUUGAACGCUGGCGGCAGGCUUAACACAUGCAAGUCGAGCGGGGGAAGGUAGCUUGCUACCGGACCUAGCGGCGGACGGGUGAGUAAUGCUUAGGAAACUGCCUAUUAGUGGGGGACAACAUCUCGAAAGGGAUGCUAAUACCGCAUACGUCCUACGGGAGAAAGCAGGGGAUCUUCGGACCUUGCGCUAAUAGAUGAGCCUAAGUCGGAUUAGCUAGUUGGUGGGGUAAAGGCCUACCAAGGCGACGAUCUGUAGCGGGUCUGAGAGGAUGAUCCGCCACACUGGGACUGAGACACGGCCCAGACUCCUACGGGAGGCAGCAGUGGGGAAUAUUGGACAAUGGGGGGAACCCUGAUCCAGCCAUGCCGCGUGUGUGAAGAAGGCCUUAUGGUUGUAAAGCACUUUAAGCGAGGAGGAGGCUACUUUAGUUAAUACCCAAGAUGAGUGGGCGUUACUCGCAGAAUAAGCACCGGCUAACUCUGUGCCAGCCGCCGCGGUAA
rnacentral:rRNA from 1 species